UUGUGGAGGAGGACGCCGAAGGUGGGGCUAAUGACUGGGGUGAAGUCGUAACAAGGUAGCCGUACCGGAAGGUGCGGCUGGAUCACCUCCUAACAGGGAGACAACAAAAUGUUAAAUAUUAAUUUUGUCACCUUAGGUCGAUCGGUAUCUCACAUUCUUAAUUUAUUAAGAAUUUUAUUUCCUAAGUUUUUCUAGGUCACACCCAUUAUUUUCCUGGGCCAUUAGCUCAGGUGGUUAGAGCGCACCCCUGAUAAGGGUGAGGUCCCUGGUUCAAGUCCAGGAUGGCCCAUAUCUCUAUGUUGGGGGUAUAGCUCAGUUGGUAGAGCGCCUGCUUUGCAAGCAGGAUGUCAGCGGUUCGAGUCCGCUUACCUCCACUGAUUACCACCUCUUCCAUAAUCUAUAGAAGGGAAAUGUUUAUAGGUGUGAUCAAAUCCUGAACGAAUCUAGCUUCCUAAUUAUCUUUAUUAAGAUGCUGGACUCAUUGAAAUUUUUUUCAUUGUUUUCAGAGAACCUUGACAACUGCAUAGAUUAUUUUUAAAGACAAUAAGCAUCUUUAAUGAUGCAGAUUUAUUAUUUGUGCGAAUGCAUUAAAUAACAAUUCUAUUAAGCUGAUGCUUCAGUUUUGAAGUUAUUGGUCAAGCUACAA
rnacentral:misc_RNA from 1 species